rnacentral:rRNA from 1 species
GAUGAACGCUGGCGGCGUGCCUAAUACAUGCAAGUCGAGCGAACAGAUAAGGAGCUUGCUCCUUUGACGUUAGCGGCGGACGGGUGAGUAACACGUGGGUAACCUACCUAUAAGACUGGGAUAACUUCGGGAAACCGGAGCUAAUACCGGAUAAUAUUUCGAACCGCAUGGUUCGAUAGUGAAAGAUGGUUUUGCUAUCACUAAUAGAUGGACCCGCGCCGUAUUAGCUAGUUGGUAAGGUAACGGCUUACCAAGGCGACGAUACGUAGCCGACCUGUGAGGGUGAUCGGCCACACUGGAACUGAGACACGGUCCAGACUCCUACGGGAGGCAGCAGUAGGGAAUCUUCCGCAAAGGUCGAAAGCCUGACGGAGCAACGCCGCGUGAGUGAUGGAGGUCUUCGGAUCGUAAAACUCUGUUUUUAGGGAAGAACAUACGUGUAAGUAACUGUGCACGUCUUGACGGUACCUAGUCAGAAAGCCACGGCUAACUACGUG